UUAGUGAUGAAAAUAAUUGGUCCGUGUUUAUGAAAUCGCAUGAUUUUAUCAUUGUCCAUUACUCUGAUAAAU
rnacentral:snoRNA from 1 species